UGCGUAGGCGGAAUAUUAAGUCAGUGGUGAAAUCCUGCAGCUUAACUGUAGAACUGUCAUUGAUACUGGUAUUCUUGAAUACAGUUGAAGUAGGCGGAAUGUGUAAUGUAGCGGUGAAAUGCUUAGAUAUUACACAGAACACCGAUUGCGAAGGCAGCUUACUAAGCUAUGAUUGACGCUGAGGUACGAAAGCGUGGGGAGCGAACAGGAUUAGAUACCCUGGUAGUCC
rnacentral:rRNA from 1 species